rnacentral:lncRNA from 1 species
ACAUUAUAGAGAAGCAUGACAUCGACAGAACACAAAUUUGAUAAGAAAUGACAAAAAGCGGCAAUCUGUAAGAAAAUGGGAUCGGAUCCUAGCCUCAUAGCACACAUACAAUUUAAACUCAAAUAGGAAAUAGCCCAAGGCAGGAACCGGAGGCAGGAGCGGAAGCAGAGACCAUGGAGGGAUGCUGCUUCCUGGCUUUGUUCCUUUGUGCUCAAGUACCUUUCUUACGCAGACGGGAUGCCUGUGGAUGGCACUGCCCUCAGCGGGCUGAACCUUCCCAUAUCAACUAACAGUUGAUAGGAUGCCUCAUUGGCCUGGCGACAGGCCAGCCUGAACUGGACAAUUCUUCAGCUGAGGUUCCCUCUUCCAGAUGACUUGAGGGUCGCGUCACGUGGACAGUUGGGGCUAACUAUGACAUGCAUCCAUUUCUUUGCUUAUGUUUUCUUUGUAAUCAUUCAUUGCUAGCAGACUUCCUUCAUGUCCUUGACAACAGCCUUAAAAUAUUUGCCUCUUAAUUCUAAGGUGUGGGUCACCUUGAGGUUCAGCUCCACUGAUAACCGUUCCUAUUGCAUAUGAAUUACAUUAUCUCAUAUCGUCAUACAUCUAAUAGCUUUGGAAUGUGAGUUGGUCACCGUCCCUUAUUGGUACUAUAUUGUUUUGGGGAGGGAAUGUACUACAUAAAACUUAAUUUUGGAAAUUC